UGGGGAAUAUUGCGCAAUGGGCGAAAGCCUGACGCAGCGACGCCGCGUGGGGGAUGAAGCUUUUCGGAGUGUAAACCCCUUUCGACCCGGACGAAUGACCCGCAAGGGUUUGACGGUACGGGUAUAAGAAGCCCCGGCUAACUACGUGCCAGCAGCCGCGGUAAUACGUAGGGGGCCAGCGUUGCUCGGAAUUACUGGGCGUAAAGGGUUCGUAGGUGGUGCGGCAAGUUGGGAGUGAAAUCUCUGGGCUUAACCCAGAGGCUGCUUUCAAAACUGCCGUGCUCGAGUGCGAGAGGGGUCAGUGGAAUUGCAGGUGUAGCGGUGAAAUGCGUAGAUAUCUGCAGGAACACCCGUGGCGAAGGCGGCUGACUGGAUCGCAACUGACACUGAGGAACGAAAGCUAGGGGAGCAAACAGGAUUAGAUACCCUGGUAGUCCUAGCCCUAAACCAUCAGAACUUGGGGUGGCCCGCGUAGGCGGGUCGUCCCGUAGCUAACGCGUUAAGUUCUGCGCCUGGGGAGUACGGUCGCAAGACUGA
rnacentral:rRNA from 1 species